CCCAGAGUGCCUAUCAUUCAGCCCUCUGAUGGCAACUCUCAGACAACUCGGGGACAGACAGAACACAAAACCAGAAAUAAGGACUUGCAACCGUGGCUGAAGAUGCCCAGAGAGUCGUGUAUGUAACAGCCAGCGAGAGGCAGAUGACAGCAACAAGAAAUUUCACAGCUCCAAAGAGUGAACGUACCACGGAUUAGUACCGGAGACAGAAAUACUUCUAUGAAAACCAUGAAGGAAGUUCCGGAAUCUAGAGUAACUCUCGGAUGCACAGAACUGGAGACUUAAAAGAUCCUCAGUUCCCCCAGGACCUGAGCAUGUAGAAACGUGGGGGCCUGGCUGUCCUUCUGGUCUGCACGCGUGGCCUCAAGCCCGAAUCCCUACAACAGCAUCUCCACUGACAGCAAAGUGCUUCUUCGGUAGGUGUGAGCUUAUUGUCUCGGUACUGUCGCUAGGAAAAACAGCUCAUUUAGAGGGCUGGUGUAGCAACCAGCUGGUGUAGAACAUGCUUGAGAAAUCUCUUAUCAGAACUUCGC
rnacentral:lncRNA from 1 species